rnacentral:rRNA from 1 species
ACCUGGCGGCGUGCCUAAUCAUGCAAGUCGAGCGGACAGAUGGGAGCUUGCUCCCUGAUGUUAGCGGCGGACGGGUGAGUAACACGUGGGUAACCUGCCUGUAAGACUGGGAUAACUCCGGGAAACCGGGGCUAAUACCGGAUGGUUGUUUGAACCGCAUGGUUCAAACAUAAAAGGUGGCUUCGGCUACCACUUACAGAUGGACCCGCGGCGCAUUAGCUAGUUGGUGAGGUAACGGCUCACCAAGGCAACGAUGCGUAGCCGACCUGAGAGGGUGAUCGGCCACACUGGGACUGAGACACGGCCCAGACUCCUACGGGAGGCAGCAGUAGGGAAUCUUCCGCAAUGGACGAAAGUCUGACGGAGCAACGCCGCGUGGAGUGAUGAAGGUUUUCGGAUCGUAAAGCUCUGUUGUUAGGGAAGAACAAGUACCGUUCGAAUAGGGCGGUACCUUGACGGUACCUAACCAGAAAGCCACGGCUAACUACGUGCCAGCAGCCGCGGUAAUACGUAGGUGGCAAGCGUUGUCCGGAAUUAUUGGGCGUAAAGGGCUCGCAGGCGGUUUCUUAAGUCUGAUGUGAAAGCCCCCGGCUCCACCCGGGAGGGUCAUUGGAAACUGGGGGAACUUGGAGUGCAGAAAAAGGAGAGUGGAAUUCCACGUGUAGCGGUGAAAUGCGUAAAAAAUGUGGAAGAACACCAGUGGCGAAAGGCGACUCUCUGGUCUGUAACUGACGCUGAGGAGCGAAAGCGUGGGGAGCGAACAGGAUUAGAUACCCUGGUAGU